GACAGAGGGUGCGAACGUUGUUCGGAAUUACUGGGCGUAAAGCGCGUGUAGGCGGCUCUGCAAGUCGGAUGUGAAAUCCCACGGCUCAACCAUGGAAGUGCAUUCGAAACUGCAGGGCUAGAGUCCUGGAGAGGAAGGUGGAAUGCUUGGUGUAGAGGUGAAAUUCGUAGAUAUCAAGCGGAACACCGGUGGCGAAGGCGGCCUUCUGGACAGUGACUGACGCUGAGACGCGAAAGCGUGGGGAGCAAACAGG
rnacentral:rRNA from 1 species